AAGGAAGAAAGGGUCUGAUUAGGCCUUUGCAAGUCCAUUUAUGUUUUAAUAUUCCUUGAGUGGUAUAUUUAUGGCAUUUUCUGAUAAUUUAAUAUUAGUAUAGCUUGUGUUAUAUGUCUGUAAGACUGUAACUACCAUUAUGCAACUCUAAACCAUGAGUUUCUAAUAUAUACUUUGGAUUGCAGGUGAUUGAUAAAGUUCAGG
rnacentral:misc_RNA from 1 species